rnacentral:rRNA from 1 species
UACGAAGGGUGCAAGCGUUACUCGGAAUUACUGGGCGUAAAGCGUGCGUAGGUGGUGAGUUAAGUCUGAUGUGAAAUCCCCGGGCUCAACCUGGGAAUGGCAUUGGAUACUGGCUCGCUAGAGUGCGGUAGAGGGUGGUGGAAUUCCCGGUGUAGCAGUGAAAUGCGUAGAGAUCGGGAGGAUCAUCUGAUGCUAAGGCGACCACCUGGAUCUACACUGACACUGAGGCACGAAAGCGUGGGGAGCGAACAGG